UCCAACAUAUAGCUCAGUUGGUAGAGCAUGAGACUCUUGAUCUUAGGGUCAUGGGUUUGAGCUAAAGAAUCCCGCAAUGCAGGAGGUUGGAU